rnacentral:rRNA from 1 species
AACGAAACGCUGGCGGCAUGGAUUAGGCAUGCAAGUCGAACGCCGGUAGCAAUACCGGAGUGGCGCAAGGGUGAGGAACGCGUGAGUGAUCUGCCCUCAAGUUGGGAAUAGCUCCUGGAAACGGGAAUUAAUACCGAAUGUGAUCAUAGAGCUGCAUGGUUUUUAUGAUUAAAAGGCGAAAGUCGCUUGAGGAGGAGCUCGCGUCCCAUUAGCUAGUUGGUGAGGUAAACGGCCCACCAAGGCAAUGAUGGGUAGCUGGUCUGAGAGGACGACCAGCCACACUGGGACUGAGAACUACCCAGACUCCUACGGGAGGCUGCAGUCGAGAAUUUUUGGUCAAUGGGCGAAAAGCCUGACCCAGCAAAAUGCCGCGUGCGGGAUGAAAGGUCUUC